UUGGAUAAUUGCAAAUCACACGUCACCAACGAGAGCUAAAUGCGAGAAAGCCUUUUUUGCAUCUUCUUCUCUCCUUCAUUUCUCGAGCUCAGUAUUCUUCUCUGUCAUGGCGGUCGUAUCUCCAGCAUGUUCCAUAACGAUUCACCCCCUAAACCUUUCUCCUUCUCGGUCUUCUGCUUGGAACUCUUCUCUUCGCGUUGGAUUCUCAAGUACAAAACCUGCAUAUUUAACAUUCUUAAAAUCCACCUCUGACGACUAUCAGCCUCAAAGGAAACUCGCAGUAUCUGCUACGUCCGCUGAUAAUCAUAGCAACAUCUCUAACACGGCUUUCUCCGCUAAUGGCCCUGCUCCUUCAAUGUCCAUUUCAAAGGUGAGGAGGCAUACAAUCUCCGUGUUUGUGGGGGAUGAAAGUGGGAUGAUUAAUCGGAUUGCUGGGGUUUUUGCGAGGAGGGGGUAUAACAUUGAGUCCCUUGCUGUUGGUCUGAACAAGGACAAGGCACUCUUCACCAUAGUCGUCUCUGGAACUGAAAGGGUGCUGCAACAAGUUGUAGAGCAACUUCAGAAACUAGUCAAUGUUUUGAAGGUUGAAGAUCUCUCCAGUGAGCCACAGGUAGAACGUGAGCUAAUGCUUAUAAAAGUGAAUGCAGACCGUAAUUACCGUCCUGAGAUCAUGUGGUUGGUGGACAUUUUCAGAGCAAAAAUUGUGGAUAUCUCAGAGCACUCUUUAACAAUUGAGGUAACUGGAGAUCCUGGGAAGAUGGUUGCUGUUCAGAGAAACCUAAGCAAGUUUGGAAUCAAAGAAAUUGCAAGAACUGGAAAGAUUGCAUUGCGAAGGGAAAAAAUGGGUGCAUGUGCUCCCUUUUGGCGAUUUUCAGCUGCUUCAUAUCCUGAUCUUGGAGAAAUAAGGCCUAAUGAUGCUCUUUUGGGGUCUAAAAGCAGAGCAGUCAUAGGCGAAGAAACAUCUGCAGGGGGGGAUGUUUAUCCAGUGGAACCAUCUGAUAGCUUUACAGGCACUCAAGUUCUUGAUGCUCAUUGGGGUGUUCUCGAUGAAGAUGAUACAACUGGACUUCGAUCUCACACUCUCUCCAUGCUGGUGACCGACUCUCCUGGAGUUCUUAACAUUGUUACAGGAGUAUUUGCUCGAAGAGGCUAUAACAUUCAGAGUUUGGCCGUUGGGCAUGGAGAAACUGAGGGCCUUUCUCGAAUAACAACUGUUGUUCCUGGAACAGAUGAAUCAAUAAGCAAGUUGGUGCAGCAACUUUAUAAGCUGAUAGACCUUCAUGAGGUUCAGGAUCUUACUCACUUGCCAUUUGCUGAACGGGAAUUGAUGUUGAUAAAGAUUGCUGUGAAUGCUGCUGCUAGACGAGAUGUCCUUGACAUUGCUAGCAUUUUUAGGGCAAAAGCAGUUGAUGUAUCUGACCACACAAUAACCCUUGAGCUUACUGGAGAUUUGGACAAGAUGGUUGCACUGCAGAGGUUGUUAGAACCCUAUGGCAUUUGUGAGUUCAUGAUUUAAGAGAGAGGGACCAAGACUGGCCCUCCUAAUUGCAGGUUCUGGGCAUGUUGAAACCAUGGUCAGUCAAUAGUUCCAAGCUUGAGUUUGUCAGGUGGCAAGAACAGGGCGAAUAGCAUUGGUGCGAGAGUCAGGUGUGGAUUCUAAAUACCUCAGGGGAUAUUCUUUUCCGAUAUAAUGAGGACCUGGUAAGCCUUGUGGUGAACUGCCUAUACGAAUUUUGAUAGGCUUCAAAUUCGCUUUUUGCGCAUAUAGAAAACGUUGUAUAUAUUUUCUAUGAUGAAGACAGACCAGGAACAAUUAGUAGUUUGUGAAUUUCAGUGGUGAAUCAGUACUACAGGUUGUCAAUUUUGUUUGUUUUUUACAUUGGUAAUUUCCUUUUCUCAUUGGAUAACAUGUAUCGAGUGAAUUUAAAGAAGUUGGCUGGACUUGACAAACAUCUUCGUAAGAGAGAGUAUUGCAGUAUAUAUUUUGUUUCAAA